UAUCUUUGUCUCUCUCUCAAAAAUAAACAUUAAAAAAAAUUAGAAAGGGGAAUUUUACAAGGUUUCUACAAUUAUAGUUCUACUAAAUUGCUUGCUUUACAGUUUCCUUUCUAUCUUCCCAAAGUUUUUCAUGUCUUUUCCUGGUCCAGAAUGCCUAGCAAUUUCUAAGUAUGUAGACCAUAAUAAAUUAACACCUUCUCCAUGCCCCAAAAGGACAUUUUUAUAGAACUUUCAAAGGUUCUUUCACAUGGUUACCCAAGUUUCUCUUGGCCCUCAAUAGAGAAGUUAAGUGAUCUGCCCAAGGUCACAGAGCUGAUGAGUGAUAAAAGAUGGAUGAAUCAUAUCCAAUGACCAUGAGGGAGGGUUCUUGGUGCUAUAUUAUCCUCAUAUACAAGGAUGAUGUUACUCACCUACCAUUGUCACACUCACAUUUUAAGUUGCUAUACUAAUGACAAUGAUGGAUUUGCUUUGAUCCACCCAUAUAUUCCUAUCUUCAUUCAUGACCUACAGAGUAUGUUGUUGUUUUUUUAAAUAUUCAAUUAAUUAUGUAAGAUCCAGCAAUUACAUAAGAUGCAGGAGUGGCCAAUUUUUAAAUCUCUACAAUAAGAUUCUCUAACCAAUUGAUUGAUUUUUAGAGAGAGAGUAUGCAAGCAGGGAAGAGGGGCAGAGGGAGAGAGAAAAUCUUAAGCAGGCUCCAUGCUCAGCACAGAGCCCAAUCCAGGGUCCUAUCCCACCAUCCAAGGUGCAUGACCUGAGCCGAAUCAAGAGUCAGAUGCUCAACUGACUGAGCCACCCAGGCACCCCUCUAACCAGCUAAUUUAAAUAGAGACCUGUCAUGGUGGAUAUCAAUCAACAAGGCACCAAUUAAUUAGCUCCAGGAAUAUUUAUAUAAUGAGUCAGGCCUGGGCCUAAGUCUUGACAGGUGUUCAGUCUUAUUUGUAUUUCGGUAAUGCUAUUUGUUGUUGUCUAAUGUUUUAAUGUAUUUUUAUUACACAAAGGUUUCUUGGUGAAGGGCAUGGAUUUUUUAAAAGCAAUUAGUAAAUUAUGAAUCGUCUGAUACAUAUUUUAUGAUGACUGAAGUGAUCAAGUCAAAACUACAUUUAUGUAUCAUGUGUUUUUAAAACAAACAUUUUAUUUAAUUAUUUUUUAUUUCUAAUCCACUGAGAAAUCUAAGAAAAAAGCAUGAAGGAACAGAGGAACAGAAGCAGAAAAGGGCAAUCAAUGUUAAAAGACUUGGACUGGAUUACUGAACAAAAAGCAUUUGGACUGAAUCACUGAACAAACCAGAGACAUACAGUGUAUUACAGGCUGGGAUCCAAGUACAGAUGUUAUACUCACCUCCAACUGGUUCACUGCUUACCUUUCUCCUUAUUUAGUGGAACGAACUUCUGAGAACUGUAAGCCAUCUGGCAUGCUGCCCUCCUUAAGGUUAAAGUGGAUCCUUAACUGUCAGGUACUGACUGGUGGGUUUGAAGCUAGGUGACAUUUUGAACAAAUUAAAAGGUGAUCUGCUAAUGCACACAUUUCAUACAGGUUUUUGAAUUGUUUCUUUUUAUUCUUUUUGAUUUCUCCCUAAAUAUUAUGUUUCUUUUGAUCUACUGUGAGGAGAGUUUUUCUUCCUAGGGUCUCUGGAUUACCUGUCCACAACCUCCCCCUUCAAAUAAACCCUCAGAUUAAGUCUUGACUACCUUUAGCACUGUGAACUUAGAUAAAAUAGUGAGAAGGGGAAGUUGCCUAGAAUUAAAGCUUUCAAAAUGCUUCUUCACAUCACCUUGGCACCAUUAUGGGGCUAUUUAAACCAUGGAAAUUAUGUGUAUCACUGAAAUGUAUCUAUUUUUCUUCUUUACUGUCAAUAUGUAUUGUAAAUGUAUUUAAGUAAGUAAAUGUCAGAAUUAUAGAAAUGUUUAUACUUUUUCAUUCUUUUCUGUUUUCCUCUUGGCAGUCUAACAGGUGUGGUCUCUCCACAUUUACAACAUUGCUGCUUUUUUCUUAAGAGUCCCAAGAGACUAUAGUGGAGUCUGUGUCUAACCACACCUAAACAAGUGAUAGAUUAAAAGACAAAUAUUAUCAGUUGUUUGGAUACCUUGUUUACCCUUGCCAAAACUAACUGAUUAAAUGGCUACGUAUUUAAGAGAAAAAAAUAGGUAAAGUUAAAACAAAGUUAAGAGAGUAAUAAAGGACUCAUUUUUCAUUUCCAAACAUUGGUCUAUAUAGACAGGCAAUGUUGAAUGUGUCAAAAGAUUAUGCCUAUGUAACAUCUUUCAAAUGCUAAUCAAGGGAUUAUAUGCAUAUUCUAUUAUUUGUAUGUUCAGGAGGCAAAGGAUAUUUUCUACACAUUAUGUGCUUUUGUCAAUGUCAUUAAAAGUAAUCUCUUCCUAUUCACUUAACAUGACUACUAAUUUCAGGUAGUUAGAUAAUAACUAUUGUAUCCUAUAUGAAACUCUUGUAUAAAAGAUACACAGAUUUUAAAGUGUAUGAGUAAUAGUAACUUUACAGUGGAGAAACCUGGUAGACAACCCCUUAACCAAGUAAAAAGUCAUUUUGAUAGCACCUCCACAGGGUGUGAUGACACGAGCACAUCAUGUCUGUGGUAUUCUUCCCCAAACUCUGCAACUUCAGUCUAUUCAUGAGAAAAUAUCAGGCAAACCUAAACUGAAGGACAUCCUACAAAAUACUUGAUCUCUACUCCUCAGAAGUAUCAAGAUCAUGAAAGACAAGGAAAGAGCAAGAGACAGUCACAGAUCAGAACAGACUAAGAACACAUGAUGCCUAAAUGCAAUGUGGUAUCCUUUAUACCCAGAAAAAUAACAUUACCAGAAGAACUGUGGAAAUUUAAAUGAAGGCUAUAGUUUGGUUUAUAAUAUCAUACCAACAUUCAUUUCUUAGUUUUUUCUUAUAAAUGUACUGAAGAAAUAUAAGAAGUUAACAAAAGGAAACUGGGUGAAGGGUAUACAGAAACAUUCUGUGCUAUCCUUGCAACUCUUCUAUAAAGCUAAAAUUAUUUUGAAAGAAAAAGUUUAUCUAAAAAUGAACUUGUAACUCUGAGAGCUUAUUUAUAAGUUUGUUAAUUCAACAUACUUAAAUAAAAUAGAGCAGAGCAAGAAGUUCCAUUCUGGUAUAUAGCUAUAUCUAAAGAUCGUUAUCUAUAUUUAUAUCUGUAUCUGCAUCUAAAUAUAGAGAUAGGCACACACAAAUACUCACACAUACACAUAAGUACACAUACACAUUAGCUUUCUCAGUAAGGAUAAGAUGACAGGGAUGAGAAGUGUAUUCUGGUUUACUGUAGACAAUAAGAUGCACAGAAACUAUCAAGUCCCAAUGAAAUCUGGGAUUUCUGUUUAAUAUUCAUAUCUCUUUCUCUCCUAAGCCCAUUAGCUCACUUCUCCAUAAUGCAUCAGUUCAUAGUGACAUCUAUAAAAGUGUUUCUUGCCAGUUUGUUCCUUCUAAAAUUCUUACUCCUUUUCCCAUCUGGCUUUGCAAAUACAUAAAAUAUCUGUGUUGCAUCACAUUAUUUAAAGCAGCC